rnacentral:lncRNA from 1 species
CGGGCAAAAUUUUUUUGGCCCGGGCCCGGCCCGGCUAUAAAUAAUAUAUUUUUUAAUUUUAUUAUUACAUUUUAGAUUUUAGAUUUGAGUCCCAUUUCUGAUUCCCCCUCCCCAUUUCCCCAACCCCGUUAAAAUUUUAGACAGAAAUCCCUAACCCCUUCCCUUCCCUCCUCCCUUUUUUCCCCAAAUUGAAAACCCAUCUACAGUCCCCACCGAUCCACCAUCCCACCUCCGGUCUCCGGCCCUCCAGCACUCCACCUCCACUCCACGACACUAGGUGGCUGUUCUCUUCACUUCGAUUCUUCUGCAACUUCCGAGUCCGACCCAAACCCUUCAAAUCAACAAGUUCAAGCCUUCAAGGUAACUUCUUUCUAUUCUUCUUCACUUUAGUUUUCAUUUUAAUCAUGUAUUUAAGAUUUAAGAGAAGGCUACUCUUUAUUGCUGAGUUUAGUGACGGUGACAUGCUUCGAUUUUUAAUAUAUUGUUGCCAUGUUCUCUUUGAACUUUGAAGUUUGAAGUCAUUUGCUAGUGCUUUUCAUUUUCCAGAUUUUGAAGUCAUUUUAAUAUAUUUGAAGUCAUUUUGAAGGUAAUUCGUUUUCCAGACUUUGGCAUGUCAUUUUCCAGAUUUUGGCAUGUCAUUUUCCAGAUUUUAUUUUAUUUCCAAAAAAACUGUUUACAUGUAUGAGUAGUAAAUACUUCUUGUCAUCCAUUUUCUUGGUCAACAAACGGGAAUUUGAUCUUAAAGAUCCUUAAGAUUAAAAUACGAAUGAAGUUAGGUUUACAUGGUCAUGUUUUUGCAAAGUCAAAUUUUCAUCUGCUUUUCUUUUUGGUUUGAUCUGUUUUUUUGGUUGGUGAGAAAGUGAAUGAAAAGUUGCUGAAAAUGAAUUGAAUUGAAUUUGUUGGUUGAUGUAAAAUGAAUUGAAAAUGAACAGUGGCGGGGUUUUGUUUUUCGUAGAGUUUCGGUUAGUAAAAAUACAUUUUGUAAGCUCAUGGGAUCAAUAUCUAUAAUUAAUAUUAUGUGUAAUAUUGAUAUUUCUUGUGAAUUUACAGAUCAUAUCUCUAUUGGUCGAGGUAUUCCUUAAAUUUAGUGAACCUAAUGAGCUCUCGAGCACUGUUUUAAAUUCUCUUACUACAACACUGUUUUAAAUUCUCUAAUAAGGAGCCUAUCUACAUUUAUAUCCAUAUGUUAUUUCUUCUUGUAUGAAAACAGACCAAGCAAGUUUUAAUGAACAUAAGAGAAAUAGGACUUUGAUAAUGAAAUGAUUUUGAUACGUCUAAGAACAUGUUCACUACAGUUUUGGUAUUAUUUGACAGUUUUUUGCAGCUUAAAACUUAAAAGCAAUAGCAGUGCUUAUUGCCCAAUGAUAAUAUGCUGCUAGUCCUUAUUACUUGUAUAAUCAUUUUUAUUUUUAUUCUCUUUUUUUAAGAAUUGAUUGUUAGUUUGUUACCUAAAUGUCACAAAUGUGUAAUUAUAGACAAUUAAAUAACAUUUAAAUUCAAUUAGUUGGUAAGCUUUUAAACUUACAGUGUAUUAGUUUAGUGUAAUACUACAUCAAUUCUAACAUAAAGUUUAUAGAUAACAUGAUGAAAGCUAUUAUUUUAAAUUUUUUUCAUUAUAUACAAAAAAAUAUAAUUUGAUAUUUGAUAUAACUUUAAUAAAAAUUAGUUUUAACUUUUAAGUAAAAAAAAAAACGGCCAGGCCCGGGCUUCAUAUUUUUUCCACGGGCCGGGCCGGGCGGGGCUACAUCUCAGGCCCAUAUUUCGGGCCGGGCCCGGGCCUAGUAAACGGGCCAAAAUUUUUUCUGGGCCCGGCCCGGCCCAUGAGCACCUCUACUUCGUGCCUACUUAUGCCGCAAUUACUAGACCCACGUUCUCAAUGUCCCCUACAACAACCCCCUCUCUAUAUGCUCCUAGAUUAUCAUUAUAAAAGAAAAUUUUGACAAACUAAGAAUUUUUUUAUUCUUUACAUUCUUUUAUUAUUUCUAAUUUCUAAUACGUGCUUUAAUAUAUUUUAAAUUUAUAAUUUAUUACUUUCUUGAAUUAAUACAAAGAAAAAACGAUAAAAAUGAAAAAGGCUAGGAAAAAUUCCAAAAAUCAAAACAGAUACAUGGGUAAGGAAUAAAAUUAUAAUUCAUGUAGAUCAUAUAUAGUUUUGAAUUGAUGGAGAAUUGAUUACAUCAUAAGAUAAUUCAAAGAAAUUUCCAUAUUAAUUUCUAAAUAGAAGUAAACACACCGGUAUCUAUUAGCUUUUUUAUGCUCUUCCUGCAACUAAUCAUUUAUCUUAACCUUUGUUCUUCCAAAAUUUUAUCUUUUUCAACUGGAUUUUAUUAGGAAUGUUAAAACCUAGUAACGGUGGAAUAUUUUGAGACUCUAGUUCUUUUUGUUGUUGAAAGUAGGGUAAAGAUUGUUGGUUAUCUUUGGGAAGCAUGUGUUCUGAUAGAAGAAGAUACGGAUGACAUAAUAGCUUGCUAGCAUUCCACCUUUUGUUUGGAUUCAUAGUAAAACAUUCUCUCAAGAAACUCUUUCCUAGCUUUGACAUGUCCUCCAGUAUGUUGGGUGAUUCUCCCAUCAAUAGCUUGUCUCUUAAAUCAUCUCGAUCAUGAGUGUCCCAUGGCAAUCUCCCUGUAAUUAUUUCAACCACAAUGCAACCCAACGACUAUAUAUCCAAUGCACCACUAACUUUCCCAACAACCAAUUCAGGAGACAUGUAAUACCUUGUACCUCGAAACCCAAACCUUGUAUCUUUUACCCCUUGUUGUUUAGCUAACCUAAAAUCGACAAUCUUUAGAGUAGGUAAAUGGGUACCAUGUUGAGGAAGGAAAGCCAGAAUAUUACCUAGUUCUCGAUCAGAGUGAAUGAAUCCUUUUCUCAUGAACAUCCAAAAGUCCUUCCAAUAUCAUUUGGGUAUAACAGUUAACAUCCUUUUCUGGAAUUUUACCACCAUACUUGUUCAUCAUGUCUAACAAACUACCUCCUGGAGCAUAUUCAAGGAACAAAUUGUAAACUUCUCCUCGUCCUUGCUCAGCACUCGUAAAACCAUAAUAACAUUGAAUAAUAUGGGGACAACCGACAAACUUUAGAAGGAUUUUUUUCCUUAGAAAAGAAGAGUAACCUUCGUUGACUGAUUUGACGGCAUAAAUCUGAUUAUAAAUAGGAGCUACGAUUUUCACUAAAUGCACUACUCCAGAAGUACCCUUUUCAAGAACCUUGAUCUUCAUUACUUUAAGCUCCAUUCAUUUUUCUUAGAACAAAUUAGGGUUUAGAGAACAAUCUAAGUAAUGAAGAUCAAGGUUCUGGGAAAGGGUACUUAUGGAGUAGUGUAUAGAAUUCCCAACUUUAUCACUUAGAAUUCCCAAUUUCCAAGAACAAUCUAAUAAUUCUUUUAUUAAUUAAUAAUUUUUUAUCACUUAGAUUGUUUAUUCAUGUAACAAUUUCCUAAUGGAAAAUAUGAAAUUUUAUUCCCUCUAAUUAAUAGAAAUUUUAUUAAUUUAAAACAAAACCGAUUAUUAUAACUUACAUUCUUUUACUAAAAAGCAUUUUAAUAAAAUUUUAGUAAUUCAAAAGUUGUUAACUUAUUGUUUCUGUCUAAAAAGUAGGGUUUUGAGAUUUAAUUGGCUCUGUAUUAUAACAAUAAGGUAUCAUAUUGCAUAUACUUUCACAUUUUCCUUUUACAAGGAACAUAAUGAAAUCUGGUUCAUAAUCUUUAGCCUUUUUAAUCAUUUUAUUUUCUCUUAAUUUUGGCAAGAUUCAUCAUUAUUAUCAACUUGUUCCAAUAUAAUAUCAUUCUCAUUUGAAGAAUGAAUCAAUUGUUGUGGCUAUAAUUGUCUUGAAAUAGAAUUAAAUCUAUUUUCAUAAAAAAUAGCAUUGAAGAAUGAAUCAAUUGUUGUGGCUAUAAUUGUCUUGGAAUAGAAUUAAAUCUAUUUUCAUAAAAAAUAGCAUCUCUUGAUUCAAUAACAGUAUUAAUUUAAAUUGAAUAUUUAGUUCAACUACCAUGAACCCAUAUGUUGGAACUUUGACAAUAGCUCUACAUCCUUAAACUUUCAAAUAAUUAAGCCUUGGUUUUCUUUUCUUCCAUUGUUCAUAGGGGGUUAUUUUAGUUUCUUUAUUAGAAACUCUAUUCAAUACAUGACAAGCCGUUAGAACAGCUUCUCCCCAAAGAUAUUGUCCAAGACCUGAAUAUAAUAACAUUGAAUUUAUCAUUUCAGUCAAAACUCUAUUUUUCUUUUCAGCUAAUUGUUUUGUUAUGGUGUGUAAGGGGUUGAAACUUGAUGGAUAAUCCCAGUGGAUUCAAAAUAGCUUGGAUUAUAAUAUUCUCCACCUCUAUCCAAUCUUAAGCACUUGAUAAAUGAUUCACACUGAAGUUCAACUUUAGAUUUAUAAAUUUUAAAUUUAUCAAGCGUUUCAUCUUUUGAAUACAAUAAAUGUACAUAUCAAUAUCUAGAAUAAUCAUCAAUAAAAGUAACAAAAUACUUCUUUCCAUCUAAUGUAGGAUUAUUAUGCAUGUCACAUAAAUCACUAUGUAUCAAAUCAAGCAACUUUGUUUUCCUUUUAACUUUAGGGAAAUGGUUUCUUAUAAUUUUAGUCAACAUACAUGUAUUGCAUUUUUAAUAUUAUUAUUAAAAAUAGAAAUUAAAUCUAAUUUAUUCAUGUCAUUCAAUUUUAGAAGAUUCAACCAUCUAAAUAGAAAUAGUAUUUUUUAUUCUUAUUAUAAUUUUGAGUCUGAACAUGCCCUCAUAUGCAUACGUAUACCCUUUCCCCAACAAAAAUUCCUCCCUUAGAUAGAAUAAACUUAUCUGCCUCAAAAAGAAGUUUGAAACCAAACUUAUUUAAUAGACUUCCAAAAACUAAAUUAUUCCUAACUUUUGUACAUAAUAUACAUCUUUCAAGGUUAAAAUAUUUCCAGAAGUGAAUUGUAGUUCAACAGACCUUUGCCUUUGAUUGCUACAGUGGAAAAAUUUCUUAUGUACAAGAUAUUGCCAUUUUCACAUUGUGUAAACUUUGUGAACAUGCUUUUGUCUUUGCACACAUGUUUGGUUGCUCCAGUAUCAAUCCACCAUGCAUUAUCAUCUUGUACCAUAUUAAUUUUAGAAAUCAUGGCAACGAACUUUUCAUAUUAUCAACCUUUGAAGAUGAUUUAUUUUUUAAAAAUUGAUAUUCAUUCUUAAAAUGUUCCGGCUUACCAUAACGAUAGCAUGAACCCUUUUGUUUCUUUUUGAACUUAGGUGCUCUAUCAGUCUAUUUGAAAUUUCUCUUGGAUGGUUUAGUAGUUUGUACUUCCUCCGUAACAUGCACUUUGGCAAUUUCAAAUUUUAAGUUUUGAUGUUGCUUUUGAUAUUCUUCUUCAAUAUGAAGAUGAUUUGCCAAAGCCUAAAGAGAUAUAUCAUCUUUAUUAUGUUUUAGACUUCUUUUAAAGUCUUUCCAAGAUGGAGGAAGUUUAUCUAUAAUGGAGAAUACAACAAUCAUUUCAUCCAUUUUCAUAUCAUAUUGCUUAAAUUGAUUCAACAUUUUUUCAAUAUCACGAAAUUGUUCAAUAACAGAACAACCAUCAAUAAUUUGAUAACUAUUGAAACAAUUAACAAGAAAUUUCUUGUAGCAUUUUCGGUCAUGCAUCUUAUUUCCAAUUUGUCCCAUAAUUCCUUAACAGUGACAUCGUUCUUGUAGGUGUCAAACAAACCAUUGGAUAAAACAUUCAAUAUGUGGCCCAUACACAUGAAAUCAACAUUGUCCUAUUUUUUCCUUUCUCGGGUUGCAGCAAUAGAUUCAUUUUCAUUCUCUUUCGGUCUUAGAGUAUCCAAAACAUAGGCAAUCUUCAAAGUUGAUAACAAGAAGUGCAUCUUUUUCUGCCACCGUCAAACCAAUCAAGCUUGACAAAGUUGGAAGCCAACUCCCUUAGUGUUCCACUUUCAUGUGUUGUAGUAGUCAUAAUGAAAAUAGAACUUUAAAAUUGUUAGUACAAAGCUCCGGUGAGGAAAAUCUCAAACACGAACGAAAUUUGAACAGAAAAUGAAGAAAUAGGACAAGGCUCCAAAGCAUGUAUUAAGUCACUAUCUCUAAGAUUUUAUUCACCACACAUAUAUUCGGUGUGCAAAAGAGUUUCAAACAAAUUAAUCUCGAUGAUACAAAGAAGCUGAUAACUAUUUGCGUUUUGCACUAACGAGAAUAGUUCACUAAGCACUUUGCAAUGUAUAACAAGAAACUCAAGUUCUAUAAAGAAUUUUUGCUUUAAUACUUUAUAGAAUAAUCUAAUAAUAUUAGAAAUGGGGGAAGGAUAUAUAGAAAUAAUGUUUAGAACUUGUUGGUGUCAUUUUCAAAUGAAAUUUCAUUCCUAUUUAUAAGAAUUUUCAUGUCUCUUCGUAAAGGAAUCUUCCAAUAGAUGUCAUCUAGUAUUAAAACUAUUCAAGUAAUCAAUUAAUUAAAAAAGCGUUAAACAUAUGUGAACCGUCAUAAAUUAUAUAGUCUAAAUUUGUUUAUAUAUGUAUAUAUAUAUACUUUGAUUAUGAAAUAAAUUUAACUUUUACAAAUUAAAUAUUU